GGGUAUAAAGGGAAAAACUUGGAGAAGGGGUUGACAUUUUUUCAUAUAAAUGUAUUCUUAUAGCCCAAUUAGGGCUUGAGUUUUUUAUUACACAAAAAAAAAAAAAAAAAAAAUACUAGCCUCCAAACCUUCACCUUCUUUCUAAUUUCUUUCUAAAAAUUCUCUACGUUUUUCCUUCUAAAAAAAAUUCUUGGAGACCAUUAUUCCAAGUUCUUUGGAAUCCUAGAAAAUAGCAAGGUAACUUUGUUGGUGGUGUCCUUCUUCAUUGGAGAAGUUCGAGAUCGUUGAUAACAGUGGAAGAGGAAAGCUAAAAGGAGAUUGAGUGAUUCAAGGUCAUUUGGAGCGAUUUAGAAGAAUUGGGAUCAAAUUUAGAGUUAUUCAGACUUAAGAAAAUUUCUUUGCAUGAAUGUCUGCAAUAUAUUGAAGAGAUUGGAGUGUUUUGAAGUGAAUGGAACCGAACGAUUUGUCUAAAAAUUUGUGAGAGAAGAAGGUUGUUCUUCUGCUGGGUUGCUGCUAUGAGCUUCUCCAAAUUCACUUAAUUCCAGCCUAUUUUGAGUCCCACUACUCAAUCUUGAGUACUAAGAGGAUAAUAGGGAAGAUCUUGGGGUGGUCUAUAAUAAGAUUCUGUGGAGAUUUGCAGCUGGUUCAA